GAUGUGAGGGAGAUCUGGCUGUGGCAUCAGUCACCCCAUUGGUCUCCAUGGUUGAGUCAACUGAAUCUGGCUGUGCGGACUGGCUCACUAAUGGGCUUCCCUCAGCCCCUC